UACGAGGGGGCGAGCGUUGUUCGGAAUUAUUGGGCGUAAAGGGUGCGUAGGCGGUUUGGUAAGUCUGAUGUGAAAUCUAUGGGCUCAACUCAUAGUCUGCAUCGGAAACUGCCGGGCUUGAGUGUGGGAGAGGUGAGUGGAAUUCCUGGUGUAGCGGUGAAAUGCGUAGAUAUCAGGAGGAACACCUGUGGCGAAAGCGGCUCACUGGACCACAACUGACGCUGAUGCACGAAAAGCGUGGGGAGCAAACAGG
rnacentral:rRNA from 1 species